rnacentral:snRNA from 1 species
GAGAUUAGUAUGGCCCCUGUGCAAGGAUGACCUGCAAGUUCAUGAAGUGUUCCAUAUUUUU